GUCAGGGUGGGGCAACAAGCAGUAGUUCAAGGGCUCAGGUCCUCAGGCAGGAGCUGAGCAAACAGCAGCACUUCACAAGCCAGCUGCCACAGUGAGAUAAGAAAAACAGAGACGACUCAAAAAGAAACCAACCUGAGGAAAUUCUUCCCAAGACUUCAACACGGAUUGACAGGUUGCACUGCCACAGCUGUGGAAGCAGGGGAAGAUUUCACCCUGAACAACAGGGUCGUUAUCCAAGACAGAAGAUAAAAUACCACAUUCCACUUCAUGGGUGGAAGGAUAGUUUAGAGUUAAAUCUGGGAGCCAAGAGAGCUAUCCCUGGGACAAAUUCUGAAAUCUCUAAUGGAGACCAAUGAAGUAUAGCUCACCAGCUUCAACAAAGAGGAACUAAAUCAAGAUUUCUUAUUAUGUUAGUAUUUAUUAAUUACUACUUGUACAGUACUUUGAAGUAGUAAAAUACUAGGGAAGUAUUUUUAAUUAAUUAUUAUUUUAAAGAAUAUACAAGGUUUCUACAGUGGAAUCACUUUGAGCCAAUGAGUUAAAAAUGCAGAUACUCACAAAAGCCAAACUGGCAGACUUGUCUUAAAUCUCAUUGGCAUGAUAGGAUCAUUAUACAGCUUAAGUUGAAGUGAAGGGGUAACAUUUGCUGCUGAUUAGUGUGAAUUUUAAUGGCCAGGUGCCAUAGAACGUUAUGCUCUUCUCGUGCCAAGGAAACAUAUCGGAUGCAGAUUCUCGAAGGUUUCCAUGGUGUGGGGGGAGGUAGGAAAGGGAGGAGGAAGAAAAAGACAACCUAGUGUGAAAGAAAGUUAGGAGAAGGAAGCAAAAUCCAAGGUUCAUCUAAUAGGUAGAUCAAAGAGCUGAGUUCUUAGGUCUGACACUCAACCACACCUCCCAGAGCACAAUUAGCAGGUUAAGCUGCAGGUAUGGCUGUGAGGCUAGCAAGAAGUAGCUUUUCCAAAUCUUCAGUAAGAUAUUCUUUUAAAUUUCUUGGAAGGUGAAGCGGGGUUGUAAAAUAAUCCUGCUUUGUCUUUAGACAGGCAUGACUAUCACUGGUGAUUCAACAGA